UGCUGCAUGUCCGGGUUGGUGAGGAAGCGGUCUUGAAAACCGUUGGUCCGAAAGGGCUUGCAGGUUCGAAUCCUGUGUGCAGCGU
rnacentral:tRNA from 2 species